rnacentral:rRNA from 1 species
AUUGAACGCUGGCGGCGUGCUUAACACAUGCAAGUCGAUCGGUAACGCGGGGGCAACCCUGGCGACGAGAGGCGGACGGGUGAGGAACGCUUGGGAAUCUGCCCUUCAGCGGGGGACAACACGGGGAAACUCGUGCUAAUACCGCAUACGCUCCACGGAGGAAAGCCGGGGACCGCAAGGCCUGGCACUGAAGGAUGAGCCCAAGUCGGAUUAGCUAGGUGGCGGGGUAACGGCCCACCAAGGCGACGAUCCGUAGCUGGUCUGAGAGGACGAUCAGCCACACUGGGACCGAGACACGGCCCAGACUCCUACGGGAGGCAGCAGUGGGGAAUAUUGGACAAUGGGGGAAACCCUGAUCCAGCGACGCCGCGUGGGUGAAGAAGGCCUGCGGGUUGUAAAGCCCUUUCGGUAGGGACGAAAGCUCUCGACCUAACACGUCGGGAGGUUGACUUAACCUACAAAAGAAGCACCGGCUAACUCUGUGCCAGCCGCCGCGGUAACAC